rnacentral:rRNA from 1 species
UACGGGGGGAGCAAGCGUUGUUCGGAUUUACUGGGCGUAAAGGGCGCGUAGGCGGCCUCCGCAGUUCAGUUGUGAAAUCUCCGAGCUUAACUCGGAAAGGUCAACUGAUACUGCGGGGCUAGAGUGCGGAAGGGGCAACUGGAAUUCUUGGUGUAGCGGUGAAAUGCGUAGAUAUCAAGAGGAACACCUGCGGCGAAGGCGGGUUGCUGGGCCGACACUGACGCUGAGGCGCGAAAGCUAGGGGAGCGAACGGG